rnacentral:rRNA from 2 species
GCUUGCUUCUAUGACGUUAGCGGCGGACGGGUGAGUAACACGUGGGCAACCUGCCUGUAAGACUGGGAUAACUUCGGGAAACCGAAGCUAAUACCGGAUAGGAUCUUCUCCUUCAUGGGAGAUGAUUGAAAGAUGGUUUCGGCUAUCACUUACAGAUGGGCCCGCGGUGCAUUAGCUAGUUGGUGAGGUAACGGCUCACCAAGGCAACGAUGCAUAGCCGACCUGAGAGGGUGAUCGGCCACACUGGGACUGAGACACGGCCCAGACUCCUACGGGAGGCAGCAGUAGGGAAUCUUCCGCAAUGGACGAAAGUCUGACGGAGCAACGCCGCGUGAGUGAUGAAGGCUUUCGGGUCGUAAAACUCUGUUGUUAGGGAAGAACAAGUACGAGAGUAACUGCUCGUACCUUGACGGUACCUAACCAGAAAGCCACGGCUAACUACGUGCCAGCAGCCGCGGUAAUACGUAGGUGGCAAGCGUUAUCCGGAAUUAUUGGGCGUAAAGCGCGCGCAGGCGGUUUCUUAAGUCUGAUGUGAAAGCCCACGGCUCAACCGUGGAGGGUCAUUGGAAACUGGGGAACUUGAGUGCAG